UACGUAGGGGCAAGCGUUGUCCGGAAUUAUUGGGCGUAAAGGGCGCGCAGGCGGUUUCUUAAGUCUGAUGUGAAAUCUUGUGGCUUAACCACAAGCGGUCAUUGGAAACCGGGAGACUUGAGUGCAGAAGAGGAGAGUGGAAUUCCACGUGUAGCGGUGAAAUGCGUAGAGAUGUGGAGGAACACCAGUGGCGAAGGCGACUCUCUGGUCUGUAACUGACGCUGAGGUGCGAAAGCGUGGGGAGCGAACAGGAUUAGAUACCCU
rnacentral:rRNA from 1 species